rnacentral:misc_RNA from 1 species
UUUCCGUAGGUGAACCUGCGGAAGGAUCAUUACAGAGUAAGGGUCUUCGGGCCCGAUCUCCAACCCUUUGUUUACCUACCAUGUUGCUUUGGCGGGCCCGUCCCUCGACCGCCGUAAGUUUGGCUUCGACCAAACUUCUGGCCCGUGCCCGUCAGUGGCCCCUUCAAAUUCUUGAUCAAGUAUGUUUUCUUAGUUAAAAACUUAAUAGUUAAAACUUUCAACAACGGAUCUCUUGGUUCUG